rnacentral:rRNA from 1 species
UGACCUCGGAUCAGGUAGGGAUACCCGCUGAACUUAAGCAUAUCAAUAAGCGGAGGAAAAGAAACCAACAGGGAUUGCCUUAGUAACUGCGAGUGAAGCGGCAAAAGCUCAAAUUUGAAAUCUGGCGCCUAUCGGCUGUCCGAGUUGUAAUUUGGAGGGAUAUCUUCGGGGAUGGCGCCGUCCUAAGUUCCUUGGAACAGGACGUCAUAGAGGGUGAGAAUCCCGUGCCUGGAUGGCGCACCGUC